UACAGAGGUGCAAGCGUUGUUCGGAAUUACUGGGCGUAAAGCGCGUGUAGGUGGCGAGAUAAGUCGGGUGUGAAAAUCCCCUUGGCUUAACCAAGGAAGUGCAUUCGAUACUGUUUCGCUUGAGUAUCGGAGGGGUCGGCGGAAUUCCGGUGUAGAGGUGAAAUUCGUAGAUAUCGGGAGGAACACCUGUGGCGAAGGCGGCCGACUGGACGAUCACUGACACUGAGACGCGAAAGCGUGGGUAGCAAACAGG
rnacentral:rRNA from 1 species